rnacentral:lncRNA from 1 species
UUUUGUUUUUUUCUUCUUUUUUUUUUCUUUGGUUUUUUAGGGCUGCACCCACGGCAUAUGGAGUUUCACAGGCUAGGGGUCAAAUCAGAGCUAUAGCUGCUGGUCUACACUACAGCCACAGCAAUGCCAGAUCCGAGCUGUGUCUUCGACCUACACCACAGCUCACAGCAACACCGGAUCCUUAACCCACUGAGCAAGGCCAGGGAUUGAAUCCGAAACCUCAUGGUUCCUAGUUGGAUUUGUUUCCUCUGCGCCACCACAGGAACUCCUACCUUCAAUUUUUAAAUAAUUUUAGGUCUCUGUAAAGUUGCAAAAAUAAUACAACUUCCUCUCAUGUUACAUCGUACAUCAUCAGAGUAUAAUUUUAAAAGCCAGGAAAUUAAAAUCAAUUCCACACUAUUAACUAAUUUAUGGAUCUAAUUUGAACAUCACUAGUUUUUCAAGUGAUGUCUUUUUUUUGUUCCAGAAUCCAGUGCAGCAUCCCGUGUUGCAUUUGAUUGUCAUGUUUCCUUGGUCUCCUAAAAUCUGUGACAGUUCUUCAGUCUUCUCUGUCUUUCAUUUUCUUGAUACUUUUGAAAUGUAUUGGAAUGUAUCUCCAUUGAGUUUGGAGAUUUGGGAUACUUUCCCAUGGUUGGAUGGAGGUUUUGGGCAAGAACGUCAUAGAAGUGAUUCUUUGUCCUUCUCAAUGCAGCAAAAUCGGGAGAAAAUGAUCUUUUGAAGCAUCAUUUGACAAUUUGCCUCUAAUUAGAGCUCUGCAUCAUUAUUUUGUAUUUUUUUUUCUUUUUAGGGCCAUGCCUGAAGGAUAUGGAAUUUCCCAAGCUAGGGUCAAAUCAGAGUUAUAGCUGCAGGCCUAUGCCACAGCCACAGCAACACUGGGAUUUGAGCCACAUCUGUGACCUAUGCCAUAGCUUGGGCCAAGGCUGGAUCCUUAAACCGCUGAGUGUGGGGAGGGAUUGAACCUGCAUCCUCAUGGAUGCUAGUCAGGUUUUUAACACACUGAGCCAUAAGGGGAACUCCAUCCUCAUCCUUAUUGACAGGUGUUUGAUGGCUUGCAAUGUUAGCUGCCUACUCUUCAUUUUACUCACAAAUGUGUGGAGUAUGAAGGGAAAGAUGGAGUUCUUUCACAAUUUGGCAAUUUAGUCUGAUUUUUUUUUCCUACAUAUGUUGAAAGGGGAAAUUAAAAUUUCACAUCUGAAUAUUGCAAAGUGUUCUUCUAAGCUGGGUUAUGAAGAGGGGUAAAGACAAUUGCACUGAAGUUGGCUUGGGGAGGGUGUUGCUACUCAAGUGCACCCCCUUCAAAGGGCCUCAAGGGCAUUCCUUGUAGUCUUGUUGCAGAUCAGAAGCUUUGCUGCUUUUCCAAGGAAUCCCUUCUCUAUUGCAGGUUGCAGAGACUGUGACCCCAUGGGGAAGCAGCAGUAAUGGAUGAAUGAAUAGUCACAGACGGAAACACUAGAACCCACUAUCUGGACAGAAACAUGUUAACUUUUGAGUGUGUUUUGAGAUUGUUUUCUAUGUGUUUAUACAUAGUUGUUUAUAAAUAUACCAUUUUAGACUUGUUUUUAAUAAUUGAAAUAUUUUCCAUGACUGUGAAUAUAGAGUAAUAUUAUCAUUUUUCAAGGCUGAACAGUAUUCCUUUCCAUAGUUUGUAUUCCACACUGGCUUUAAUUGGUCUCACAUUGUUGGAAAUUUCACCAUUGUCAGUAUUGUUGCAAUGGACAUCCUUGUAUGUUGAUUUUGAGUUCUGCCCAGAUAUUUCCCUUUGGAUACAAGUUGAGAAUUGGAAUUAGUAAAUCGAGAUUAAGGAUCUGGCAUUGUCAUGAGCUGUGGUGUAGGUUGCAGAUGUGGCUCAGAUCCUGUGUUGCUGUGGCUCUGGCGUAGGCCGGUGGCCACAGCUCCAAUUAGACCCCUAGCCUGGGAAUCUCCAUUUGCUGCAGGUGUGGCCUUAGAAAAGACAAAAAGACCAAAAACAAUUACUUAGGAAAUUAUUAAAAAUGUAUAUAACAUAAUUGAUAUCUUUGUACCAUGGCUCAUAUUUAAAAUAUAAUAAUAAGCCAGUAUUGGUGAUUACUGAUAGGUUUUUCUUUAAGAAUUUAUGCAUAUUGGCUUAUUUGAUCCUCAUAAAAAUUAUUCAAGAUAGGUCCUGAUAUUAUAUCCAUUCUAUAGAUGAGCAGAUUCAGGUAUACAGAGGUCGAACAAGUUGCCUAACCACACAUAGCUAAUGAGUACAGACAAUGAAAUUCAAUGUCCGAUGAAGAACUCUAGUUUAUGCUCUUACCACUUUAUUUUAUUAUUAAUUACAAAAAUCGUUAUUUAUGCUGGAGACUAACUCUUUGUUGAAUCAUAUGCACUGUGAAUGUCUUCUCCCACUUGGAAAUCUUUCAUUUUGUUUAUCCUAUCUCUUGUCAUGCAGGAGUGUUCAUAACUAUUAUAUGACGAUAAUAAUGAGGUCAAGUUUAUCAGUCUUUUCCUUUGAGGGUUAUACUUAUGCUUUUGUCAUGACAUGCUUAAGAAAUCCAUUCCAACUCUUGGAUCAUAAAGAUAGGCUUCAGUACUUUCUUCAAAAAUCCCGAGUAUCUGGAGUUCCCAUCGUGGUGCAGCAGAAAAGAAUCUGACUAGGAACCAUGAGGUUUCAGGUUUGAUCCCUGGCCUCAGUGGGUUAAGAAUCCAGUGUUGCUAUGAGCUGUGGUGUAGGUUUCAGACUCGGGUCAGAUCUGGCAUUGCUGUGGCUGUGGUCUAGGCCAGCAGCUGUAGCUCCAAUUAGACCCCUAGCCUGGGAACCUCCAUAUGCCACGGGUGUGGCCCUUAAUCAACAUUCAGGACAUUCAGAGCCUUAAUCAACAUGGAAUUGAUUUUUCUGUUGGGUGUAAGGUAGGAACUUCAUCAUUUCUAUUUUGUUAUAGAAAGCUUAGAGUGUCAGCAUUAUUUAUUAACAUAAUCUCUUUAUAAGGGUCUUGGACCUCAUAUUUUAUUUACUUCUAGGUGCUUUUAUUAAAGUUUUAUUAUUACAGAGAAUGAAGUCAUUUGCUUACUACCUUUUUGAAUUGAUUAUUCCAGUGUGUAGGAAUGCUGUUGCAUCUUAGAAUGUUGAUCUGUUAACCAUUAAUCUUGAUCAACUAUCUUUUGCAUUCCAAUUUUUUUUCCCAAAGAUUUUCUAUGAAAAGUAAUAAGUAUGUAAUUUAUACAUAAUCACAUUUUUUCCUUCCACAUCUUUUUACCGUUUAAUUUUUUUUUCUUGUCUUCUUAAAUCAUCUAGGGCCUCUGGUACAAUACAGAAUAAAGGCAAAGCUGUCUGGAUCUGAGUAUUUUCCCUAAUCUUAGAGGGACUGCUGCUCAUGUUACUGUUAAGCAUGAAGUGUGCUUUAGACUUUUAGAAGAUGCUCCUUAGCAAAUGAGGAAAUUCCUUUUUGUGACUGAUUUGGUGUGGGCUUUAGAAUGACCAUGAGUAUGUAUAAAUUUUCUUGUUUCUUUAUUAUUUUUUUUUUAACAUUUCCACAUUUUCUCAGUUAUUUACUUUUAGUCCCUGGUUUGUGUGUUAUUAAGAAAAGGUUCUCUUGGAGUUCUCGUUGUGGCUCGGUUCUUUAAGAACCCAACAUGGUGUCAGUGAGGAUAUAGGUUUUAUCCCUGACCUUACUCAGUAGGUUAAAGAUCCAGUGUUGCCGCAGGCUUCAGCACAGGCUGCAGAUGUGGGCAGUCCCACGUUGCUGUGGUUGUGACAUAGGCCUGCAGCUACAGCUCAGAUUCCACCCCUAGCCCAGGAACUUCCAUAUGCUGCACAUGUGGCCCUAAAAA